rnacentral:rRNA from 3 species
GGCGAGGGGAGUGAAAAAGAACCUGAAACCGUGUACGUACAAGCAGUGGGAGCACAGGUUUACCUGUGUGACUGCGUACCUUUUGUAUAAUGGGUCAGCGACUUAUAUUCUGUAGCAAGGUUAACCGAAUAGGGGAGCCGGAGGGAAACCGAGUCUUAAUUGGGCGUUAAGUUGCAGGGUAUAGACCCGAAACCCGGUGAUCUAGCCAUGGGCAGGUUGAAGGUUGGGUAACACUAACUGGAGGACCGAACCGAC